rnacentral:tRNA from 1 species
UGGAUAUUAGUUAAAUUUAAUAACAUUUUAAUUUGCAAUUAAAAAUUUUAUACUAAUAAAUAUCUUA